rnacentral:rRNA from 1 species
CCCUUAGAUGUUCUGGGCCGCACGCGCGCUACACUGAUGCAUUCAACGAGCCUAUCCUUGACCGACAGGUCCGGGUAAUCUUUGAAUCUGCAUCGUGACGGGGAUAGAUUAUUGCAAUUAUUAAUCUUCAACGAGGAAUGCCUAGUAGGCGCAAGUCAUCAGCUUGCGUCGAUUACGUCCCUGCCCUUUGUACACACCGCCCGUCGCUCCUACCGAUUGGGUGUGCUGGUGAAAUGUUCGGAUCGGCCGUUUGUCGCGGUUUCCGCGUCAUGUGGCUGAGAAGUUCAUUAAACCCUCCCACCUAGAGGAAGGAGAAGUCGUAACG